AAGAUUUACAGCAAUCAGAAGUACAGGGUUCUUUGAAUGCAUCGUAGUCCUUGUCUGAUAGUUUAAUUUCCGGGCUUGCCCUGAAGGCACCAUCUGCAGCUCCGUGCGCGUGAAGGUGUGGUGUAGAGGAAAAAGGACGGCAAGGAAAAACUCCAUGCUGCCGCGGAGCACGGUUUUUUCCAGUUGAAAGAGAGGAAAGAGGUUUAAUUAACAUUUGUGAGAGAGCUGUCGUUAGCGGUGAACCACAGACGGGUACCUACCUGAAAGGAGCCGGAGUAUUUCUUUGAACUUUUUGAACUAUUCUGACUGGUUUUUUUUUGAGGUACAGUUCCAUGGGUGCCAAGUGAGGAGCUGGUAUCGUGGGUCUAAGACACUGUUGCUGCUGUGGAGGCCUUCUCUGUGUCAGGACGCCGACACGUUGAUGCCUGCCGUACCAGGAGGGCGGUAGGGAAAAAAACAAAAGGAAGCCCACCUGAGAGAUACCUUAUCAUUUUCUUUGCUACUUUUUCUCCGCCUGAGAUUCAGGUCGUUUUCAGUUCUUAACCCAGGACAGUGGGUAACUGAAUAAACUGACACCAUAAGGAACUGGACACUCACGUGCUAUUUUCUUUUCUUUUUCCUUUUCUUUGGGGUGUUGAAAUAUUGUGUUUCUUGUCUUACAUCUAUUUUGAUUGUUUCAAUUAUUUUUGUGAUGCAUUUGAGAUGGUUACUGCAUUUGAAGGUAUCCCUACAUUGAGGAUGAGCAAAGGGAACUGAUCCAAAAGGAAAUAUAUAAAGCAAACUUUGUUUCAUAAA